GAUGAACGCUGGCGGCGUGCCUAAUACAUGCAAGUCGAGCGAACGGACGAGAAACUUGCUUCUCUGAUGUUAGCGGCGGACGGGUGAGUAACACGUGGAUAACCUACCUAUAAGACUGGGAUAACUUCGGGAAACCGGAGCUAAUACCGGAUAAUAUUUUGAACCGCAUGGUUCAAAAGUGAAAGACGGUCUUGCUGUCACUUAUAGAUGGAUCCGCGCUGCAUUAGCUAGUUGGUAAGGUAACGGCUUACCAAGGCAACGAUGCAUAGCCGACCUGAGAGGGUGAUCGGCCACACUGGAACUGAGACACGGUCCAGACUCCUACGGGAGGCAGCAGUAGGGAAUCUUCCGCAAAGGGCGAAAGCCUGACGGAGCAACGCCGCGUGAGUGAUGAAGGUCUUCGGAUCGUAAAACUCUGUUAUUAGGGAAGAACAUAUGUGUAAGUAACUGUGCACAUCUUGACGGUACCUAAUCAGAAAGCCACGGCUAACUACGUG
rnacentral:rRNA from 1 species